CUCUCCAUCACUCUCGAGCGCUCCCUCCCUCCCUCUCAUGGCUCAUGGCAUGCACAGCCGCUGAGCUGCUCUAAAUAGGUGCCACCCUGAAUAGGAGACAGAUGGAAACGAAGGUCCCCCGCUGAGCGGUUCCCCUGCAGCUGUGCUGUGUUCCCAAUGCCAGGGAGUGAUGACAGCCCACCAAGGGGCACAGAGACACACGGAGAAAAGACGUUCUGAGUGCCAUCACGCUCACUCACAAUGCCAGGACCGACUGGCAGGGAGGGAAGAGGAGACCACCAUAGUCCCUGUGCCCAAGAACACCAAGGUAACCUGCCUAAAUGACUACAGACCCGUAGCCCUAACGUCUGUAGCCAUGAAGUGCUUUGAAAGGCUGGUCAUGGCUCACAUCAACACCAUUAUCCCAGAAACCCAAGACCCACUCCAAUUUGCAUACCGCCCCAACAGAUCCACAGAUGACACAAUCUCUAUUGCACUCCACACAGCCCUUUCCCAUCUGGACAAAAGGAACACCUACGUGAGAAUGCUAUUCAUUGACUACAGCUCAGCAUUCAACACCAUAGUGCCCUCCAAGAUCCUCACUAAGCUAAGGACCCUGGGACUGAACACCUGCAACUGGAUCCUGGACUUCUUGACAUGCCAUCCCCAGGUGGUAAGGGUAGGUAACAACACAUCUGCCACACUGAUCCUCAACACGGGGGCCCCUCAGGGGUGCGUGCUUAGUCCCCUCCUGUACUCCCUGUUCCCUCAUGACUGUAUGGCCAAGCACGACUCCAACACCAUCAUUAAGUUUGCCGACGAUACAUCAGUGGCCUUAUCACAAUGAGACAGCCUAUAGGGAGGUGGUCAGAGACCUGGCAGUGUGGUGCCAGAGAUGAUCGUGGACUACAGGAAAAGGAGGGCCGAGCACGCCCCCAUUCUCAUCGAUGGGGCUGUAGUGGAGCAGGUUGAGAGCUUCAAGUUCCUUGGUGUCCACAUCACCAACACACUAUUGUGGUCCAAACACACCAAGACAGUCG
rnacentral:lncRNA from 1 species